rnacentral:rRNA from 1 species
UACGUAGGGGGCAAGCGUUAUCCGGAAUCACUGGGCGUAAAGGGUGCGUAGGCGGUCUUACAAGUCAGGGGUGAAAGGCUACGGCUCAACCGUAGUAAGCCUUUGAAACCGUAGUUCUUGAGGGCAGGAGAGGUCAGUAGAAUUCCUGGUGUAGCGGUGAAAUGCGUAGAUAUUAGGAGGAACACCAGUGGCGAAGGCGACUUUCUGGACUGUAACUGACGCUGAGGCACGAAAGUGUGGGGAGCAAACAGG